GCUGCAUACUUGACUAAAACAUCAGCUACAUUAUUUCCUUCACAGUAACUCCAUUGCACACAUGGUGUGUUAUGAACAUUUGAAUGUAGGAGAUGGAUCAAGGGACGUGAGUUUGUCUCAAGAAUGGCAUUGCAUUGCUUAUUGCUUAUGUUGAGAGUAUGUAGGAUGCGGAGCCCAAAAGCAAAGCACACCUAAGUCUAGAAGGUCCAGGAUUUCCAAAUGAUGAACCAUCAAAAUUAACCUUCAACAUUCCUGAUGGAGGAUAUACCUAAUGAACAUCAACAUGCUUCGCCAGAAAAAUAUUAAAACUUUCAUACCUUUGUGCAUGUGGGGAAUCCAUGAGCUAAAGGAAAAGCUUGUGCUUGUCGAGCAUAAUGGAAAGUCUGCAAAUUGUCCAUUCCUGGGUGAAACAUGGAUGAUUGCGUGCGAUCUAGAUACACCACAAAGCAGAAGAGACAAGAGUUAUAAGAUUGUGUCCAUUAUGUAAACUGUCAAGAGUAGAAAAAUAAAUCGUGUAAUAAACUUGAUAAAUUUAAAAUUACUUUUGAGUUUGUGAAGCAAAGUUAAUUAUUUUUCAAGUAUCCCCACAAAUAUCAAAGAACUCCAUUAUAAAAAAGGGAUAUUACAAGUAUAAAUAAGUUGAUAGAUCACAUCGUAGCCAUCAAUAUUUUUGAAUCUUGUUGUAUGCGAAGGAAGUGAGAUUGGAGUAAUUAUAUUAAGGGAGUCACUAUAGCCGCCCCGAUGUAUCUUAAAUAAUAUAUAUGUAUCCUUAACGACCUUGAAACAUUUCUGUGUGUUCUUAUAGACUAUUAUUGUUGCACCAGGAACACCUCACAUCCAUUUUUAAAGCUAACAGAUCUAACCUAAGAGUCUAAGCUUUCGUAAUGGAGCUGCAACCUGCCUACUUCUCCUUCGUGUUCAUUCUCAUUCUCAUCCUAUUCCUAUUCAUGCUUUUGAAAGUGAAUAGGAGUGCAAAACCCCGUACCACAAAUUCUAAACUGCCUCCACAGCCAUGGAAGCUACCGAUCAUAGGCCACUUGCAUCAUUUACUCGGACUACCACAUCACAUCCUCAGGAAUCUAGCUCAAAAAUAUGGUCCUCUUAUGCUAUUACAACUUGGUGAAGUUCAUGCCAUCAUUGUUUCUUCACCAAAAGUGGCAAGAGAGAUAUUAAAGACACAUGACAUUGAGUUUGCAGACAGACCUGCACUUCUUG
rnacentral:lncRNA from 1 species